CAAGGGAAGUCAUACUUGUUUUUUACCCAGUUCAAAGCUGAGAUAAAAGGAGCCAAGAUUGAAUAUGCCACUGCAUAUUCCCAGACGGCCGUGGGUGGACAGAGGGAUGUUGCUUUGAAGGAAGAAGAGUACAGUGUGUCAGAGUCUUCAGUGACCCACAGAGAAGGGACAUUCCAUUCCGAGCUUUCCAAGCUCACUGUCAUUGGUCGGACACGCCAUGAUGAACUCUGAUUGGCCCAUCCGAAAGAGGAUUGUCCCAUCACAUGAGGACAUUAAUUUGACAGCUAUGGACACUCUGGCUGCUCACUGUCACAAGUCAAGCAAAGGAAAUCAAACCACGGGAAGUUAUGAAAGAAAGAACUUCCUGUGAUAGAAAAUUCUACAGAGAUUUCCUUUAGAGGCAUCAUUACAUUAAGAACUGGACUGAUCAUCUAAGGGAGGUAGAUGAAAAGUCUAUUAUCAGACAAUGUACAUGCACAUUUAUUCAUAUUUGUGAGGUUAUAUGAAGGCUUCUUCAAAUUAAGUUCAGAGCAGAUUGAUUUCUAUUCCUGGCUGCAUUUAUGGGUUUAGGGUUUCAGCCUGACUUUGACUUCAUACCUGCAAAUCUGAUUAUCAUGAGUGCAUUCAUGCUCAUACUUACUUUCUUAAGCUGGUGUAAUGGCACGCUUGUAGAGAAUUUCCGCUAAAUCUUUGGGGUAUGUCAGAAUCCUUUGAUUAUUUCUGUUGUGAAGGAAAAGACAGAAAAACAGUUACUUGAGUUCCUUUUUUUUGCCCAAUUGUGGUUUAUUCUGAUAGCUAAUGUACUGGAAUUUUUAAUAAAUCUUUUCAGAACUGUU